rnacentral:rRNA from 1 species
CCUACGGGUGGCUGCAGUGAGGAAUAUUGGUCAAUGGGCGUAAGCCUGAACCAGCCAAGUCGCGUGAGGGAUGAAGGUUCUAUGGAUCGUAAACCUCUUUUAUAAGGGAAUAAAGUGUGGGACGUGUCCUAUUUUGUAUGUACCUUAUGAAUAAGGAUCGGCUAACUCCGUGCCAGCAGCCGCGGUAAUACGGAGGAUGCGAGCGUUAUCCGGAUUUAUUGGGUUUAAAGGGUGCGUAGGUGGUUAAUUAAGUCAGCGGUGAAAGUUUGUGGCUCAACCAUAAAAUUGCCGUUGAAACUGGUUGACUUGAGUAUAUUUGAGGUAGGCGGAAUGCGUGGUGUAGCGGUGAAAUGCAUAGAUAUCACGCAGAACUCCGAUUGCGAAGGCAGCUUACUAAACUAUAACUGACACUGAAGCACGAAAGCGUGGGGAUCAAACAGGAUUAGAUACCCUGGUAGUC